rnacentral:rRNA from 1 species
AUGGUGGUCGUGCCGCCGCCGCCUUCGGCACCAUCCCAGCUCGCAGCCUCAGUCGAUUUGCUCUGCGUCUCCAACCGUCCAAAGAUCCCAACCUUAUCAUCGUCUCCUACCAUGAGCUCGGCAACGAGAUCGGACACGGCAAGUUCUGCUCCGUUCGGAUCUAUGAGGUUCGUGCUGAUCGGGUGGGUGGCCCUGGUGAACUACGGCAAGGACUACGGCUGCCUCGUCGUCAUCGUCGACGUUGUUGACCAGAACAGGAACGUCGAGGACACGGUCCACCGCGAGGUCGAGAUCAUGCAACACCUCUCGGGCCACCCCGCCGUCGUCACGCUGAAGGCCGUCUGCGGUGGUUGCAAAUCGAAGGUGAUUGUGCGGCGGCCCUCUCUCCUUCCAAUCCUCUCUCUACCAUUGGAGCAAAAGUUGCGGACAUCUUGA